rnacentral:ncRNA from 1 species
CACAAAAAGCAACGCUUUUUGAACGUAGGCUAUGCCGACGGCCCCGUAGGGGUGAACAAUCAAGCUAGUCUUGAUUGUGAGUCC